rnacentral:rRNA from 1 species
GAAGGAAGAUGCAAGCGUUAUCCGGAAUCACUGGGCGUAAAGCGUCUGUAGGUGGUGAUGCAAGUCACUGGUGCAAAACUCUGGCUCAACCGGAGGAAAGCCAGUGAAACUGCAUGACUAGAGUGUGGGAGAGGUAGAAGGAAUUCCCUGAGUAGCGGUGAAAUGCGUAGAUACAGGGAAGAACACCGGAGGCGAAAGCGUUCUACUGGAACACAACUGACACUGAGAGACGAAAGCUAGGGGAGCGAAUGGG